AACGAACGCUGGCGGCAUGCCUAACACAUGCAAGUCGAACGAAGCCUUCGGGCUUAGUGGCGCACGGGUGCGUAACGCGUGGGAACCUACCAUCAGGUUCGGAAUAACAGUUAGAAAUGACUGCUAAUACCGGAUAAUGUCUUCGGACCAAAGAUUUAUCGCCUUUUGAUGGGCCCGCGUUGGAUUAGCUAGUUGGUGGGGUAAAGGCCUACCAAGGCGACGAUCCAUAGCUGGUCUGAGAGGAUGAUCAGCCACACUGGGACUGGGACACGGCCCAGACUCCUACGGGAGGCAGCAGUGGGGAAUAUUGGACAAUGGGCGAAAGCCUGAUCCAGCAAUGCCGCGUGAGUGAUGAAGGCCUUAGGGUUGUAAAGCUCUUUUACCAGGGAUGAUAAUGACAGUACCUGGAGAAUAAGCUCCGGCUAACUCCGUG
rnacentral:rRNA from 1 species